CCUACGGGGGACAGCAGUGAGGAAUAUUGGUCAAUGGCCGCGAGGCUGAACCAGCCAAGUCGCGUGAAGGAUGACGGCCCUACGGGUUGUAAACUUCUUUUGUCAGGGAGCAAUUGAGUCCACGCGUGGUCUUAGCGAGAGUACCUACAGAAAAAGCAUCGGCUAACUCCGUGCCAGCAGCCGCGGUAUUACGGGGGUUGCGAGCGUUAUCCGGAUUUAUUGGGUUAACAGGGUGCGUAGGCGGAAUAUCAAGUCAGCGGUAAAAAUUCGGGGCUCAACCCCGUCGUGCCGUUGAAACUGAUGUUCUUGAGUGGGCGAGAAGUAUGCGGAAUGCGUGGUGUAGCGGUGAAAUGCAUAGAUAUCACGCAGAACUCCGAUUGCGAAGGCAGCAUACCGGCGCCCAACUGACGCUGAGGCACGAAAGCGUGGGUAUCGAACAGGAUUAGAUACCCCAGUAGUC
rnacentral:rRNA from 1 species